CCAACUGAGCCACAGAAGGACCACUUCUACUUUCUAUUGGCGCUAAUACAACUCAGCUACAGGUGGGAGACUUUCUAUUGGCGCUAAUACAACUCAGCUACAGGUGGGAUACUUUCUAUUGGCGCUAAUACAACUCAGCUACAGGUGGGAUACUUUCUAUUGGCACUAAUACAACUCAGCUACAGGUGGGAUACUUUCUAUUGGCGCUAAUACAACUCAGCUACAGGUGGGAUACUUUCUAUUGGCGCUAAUACAACUCAGCUACAGGUGGGAUACUUUCUAUUGGCGCUAAUACAACUCAGCUACAGGUGGGAUACUUUCUAUUGGCGCUAAUACAACUCAGCUACAGGUGGGAUACUUUCUAUUGGCGCUAAUACAACUCAGCUACAGGUGGGAUACUUUCUAUUGGCUCUAAUACAACUCAGCUACAGGUGGGAUACUUUCUAUUGGCGCUAAUACAACUCAGCUACAGGUGGGAUACUUUCUAUUGGCGCUAAUACAACUCAGCUACAGGUGGGAUACUUUCUAUUGGCUCUAAUACAACUCAGCUACAGGUGGGAUACUUUCUAUUGGCGCUAAUACAACUCAGCUACAGGUGGGAUACUUUCUAUUGGCGCUAAUACAACUCAGCUACAGGUGGGAUACUUUCUAUUGGCGCUAAUACAACUCAGCUACAGGUGGGAUACUUUCUAUUGGCGCUAAUACAACUCAGCUACAGGUGGGAUACUUUCUAUUGGCGCUAAUACAACUCAGCUACAGGUGGGAUACUUUCUAUUGGCGCUAAUACAACUCAGCUACAGGUGGGAUACUUUCUAUUGGCGCUAAUACAACUCAGCUACAGGUGGGAUACUUUCUAUUGGCGCUAAUACAACUCAGCUACAGGUGGGAUACUUUCUAUUGGCGCUAAUACAACUCAGCUACAGGU